UACGUAGGGGGCAAGCGUUGUCCGGAUUCAUUGGGCGUAAAGAGCGUGUAGGCGGCCAGAUAGGUCGGUUGUGAAAACUGGAGGCUCAACCUCCAGACGUCGACCGAAACCCUCUGGUUAGAGUCCGGAAGAGGAGAAUGGAAUUCCUGGUGUAGCGGUGAAAUGCGCAGAUAUCAGGAAGAACACCCGUGGCGAAGGCGGUUCUCUGGGACGGUACUGACGCUGAGACGCGAAAGCGUGGGGAGCGAACAGG
rnacentral:rRNA from 1 species